rnacentral:rRNA from 1 species
UACGUAGGGCGCAAGCGUUGUCCGGAAUUAUUGGGCGUAAAGAGCUCGUAGGCGGCUUGGUAAGUCGAGUGUGAAAACUCUGGGCUCAACUCAGAGACGCCACUCGAUACUGCCAUGGCUUGAGUCCGGUAGGGGAGUGUGGAAUUCCCGGUGUAGCGGUGAAAUGCGCAGAUAUCGGGAGGAACACCAGUAGCGAAGGCGGCACUCUGGGCCGGAACUGACGCUGAGGAGCGAAAGCGUGGGGAGCGAACAGG